rnacentral:rRNA from 1 species
UACGGAGGGGGCUAGCGUUGUUCGGAAUUACUGGGCGUAAAGCGCACGUAGGCGGGUCGUUAAGUCAGGGGUGAAAUCCCAGAGCUCAACUCUGGAACUGCCUUUGAUACUGGCGACCUAGAGUUCGGAAGAGGUUAGUGGAAUUCCCAGUGUAGAGGUGAAAUUCGUAGAUAUUGGGAAGAACACCAGUGGCGAAGGCGGCUAACUGGUCCGAUACUGACGCUGAGGUGCGAAAGCGUGGGGAGCAAACAGG